UACGUAGGGGGCGAGCGUUGUCCGGAGUUACUGGGCGUAAAGCGUGCGCAGGCGGUUUUGUAAGCCAGAUGUGAAAUCCCCGGGCUUAACCUGGGAAUGGCAUUUGGGACUGCAAGGCUUGAGUGCGGCAGAGGAGACUGGAAUUCCUGGUGUAGCAGUGAAAUGCGUAGAUAUCAGGAGGAACACCGAUGGCGAAGGCAGGUCUCUGGGCUGACACUGACGCUCAUGCACGAAAGCGUGGGGAGCAAACAGG
rnacentral:rRNA from 1 species